rnacentral:rRNA from 1 species
AUUCGCGGCCUAUCAGCUUGUUGGUGGGGUAAUGGCCCACCAAGGCAUCGACGGGUAGCUGGUCUGAGAGGACGAUCAGCCACACUGGGACUGAGACACGGCCCAGACUCCUACGGGAGGCAGCAGCAGGGAAUAUUGCGCAAUGGGCGAAAGCCUGACGCAGCAACGCCGCGUGGGGGAUGAAGGCCUUCGGGUUGUAAACCCCUUUCGGGAGGGAAGAAACUGGCGGUACCUCCUAAAGAAGCCCCGGCCAACUACGUGCCAGCAGCCGCGGUAAUACGUAGGGGGCAAGCGUUGUCCGGAAUCAUUGGGCGUAAAGAGCUCGUAGGCGGCUCAGUAAGUCGGCUGUGAAAGCCCGGGGCUCAACCCCGGAAAUGCAGUCGAUACUGCUGUGGCUAGAGUCCGGUAGAGGAGAGUGGAAUUCCCGGUGUAGCGGUGGAAUGCGCAGAUAUCGGGAGGAGCACCAGUAGCGAAGGCGGCUCUCUGGGCCGGCACUGACGCUGAGGAGCGAAAGCGUGGGUAGCAAACAGGAUUAGAUACCCUGGUAGUCCACGCCGUAAACGUUGGGGACUAGGUGUGGCGAUCCGAUCAACGAUUGCCGUGCCGAAGCUAACGCAUUAAGUCCCCCGCCUGGGGAGUACGGAAU